UACGGAGGGGGCGAGCGUUGUUCGGAAUCAUUGGGCGUAAAGGGCGCGUAGGCGGCCGUCCAAGUCGGGUGUGAAAUCCCUGGGCUCAACCCAGGAACUGCGUCCGAUACUGGAAGGCUUGAAUCCGGGAGAGGGAUGCGGAAUUCCAGGUGUAGCGGUGAAAUGCGUAGAUAUCUGGAGGAACACCGGUGGCGAAGGCGGCAUCCUGGACCGGCAUUGACGCUGAGGCGCGAAAGCCAGGGGAGCAAACGGG
rnacentral:rRNA from 1 species